UACGUAGGGGGCAAGCGUUGUCCGGAUUUAUUGGGCGUAAAGAGCUCGUAGGCGGUUUGGUAAGUCUGGUGUGAAAUCUCCACGCUCAACGUGGAGGGGCCACCCGAUACUGCCAUGACUGGAGUCCGGUAGAGGAGUGUGGAAUUCCCGGUGUAGCGGUGAAAUGCGUAGAGAUCGGGAGGAACAUCCGUGGCGAAGGCGGCCAUCUGGAUCAACACUGACGCUGAGGCACGAAAGCGUGGGGAGCAAACAGG
rnacentral:rRNA from 1 species